CCUACGGGGGGCAGCAGUGGGGAAUAUUGCGCAAUGGGCGGAAGCCUGACGCAGCGACGCCGCGUGGGGGAUGACGGCCUUCGGGUUGUAAACCUCUUUCAGCAGGGACGAAGUUGACGUGUACCUGUAGAAGAAGCGCCGGCUAACUACGUGCCAGCAGCCGCGGUAAUACGUAGGGCGCAAGCGUUGUCCGGAAUUAUUGGGCGUAAAGAGCUCGUAGGCGGCCUGUCGCGUCUGCCGUGAAAGCCCGUGGCUUAACUGCGGGUCUGCGGUGGAUACGGGCAGGCUAGAGGCUGGUAGGGGCAAGCGGAAUUCCUGGUGUAGCGGUGAAAUGCGCAGAUAUCAGGAGGAACACCGGUGGCGAAGGCGGCUUGCUGGGCCAGUUCUGACGCUGAGGAGCGAGAGCGUGGGGAGCGAACAGGAUUAGAUACCCUAGUAGU
rnacentral:rRNA from 1 species